rnacentral:rRNA from 1 species
GCAUAUCAAUAAGCGGAGGAAAAGAAACCAACAGGGAUUGCCCCAGUAACGGCGAGUGAAGCGGCAACAGCUCAGAUUUGGAAUCUGGUCCCCAGGGCCCGAGUUGUAAUCUGGAGAGGAUGCUUCUGGCGCGGCGCCUUCCGAGUUCCCUGGAACGGGACGCCGGAGAGGGUGAGAGCCCCGUACGGUUGGACGCCUAGCCUUUGUGAAGCUCCUUCGACGAGUCGAGUAGUUUGGGAAUGCUGCUCAAAAUGGGAGGUAAAUUUCUUCUAAAGCUAAAUACCGGCCAGAGACCGAUAGCGCACAAGUAGAGUGAUCGAAAGAUGAAAAGCACUUUGAAAAGAGGGUCAAACAGUACGUGAAAUUGUUGAAAGGGAAGCGCCCGUGGCCAGACUUGUGCCCCGCGGACCACCCGGCGCCCUCAGCGCCGGUGCACUCCGCGGGGCGCAGGCCAGCAUCGGUUUUCCCAGGGGGAUAAAGGCGGCGGGAACGUGGCUCCCUCGGGAGUGUUAUAGCCCGCCGCGCCAUGCCCCUGGGGGGACCGAGGACCGCGCUUCGGCAAGGAUGCUGGCGUAAUGGCCACCGGCGACCCGUCUUGAAACACGGACCAAGGAGUCAAGCAUUGGGGCGAGUGUCUGGGUGCCAAACCCGCACGCGAAAUGAAAGUGAACGCAGGUGAGAGCUUCGGCGCAUCAUCGACCGAUCCUGAUGUUCUCGGAUGGAUUUGAGUAAGAGCCUUACCGCUUGGACCCGAAAGAUGGUGAACUAUGCCUGUAUAGGGUGAAGCCAGAGGAAACUCUGGUGGAGGCUCGCAGCGGUUCUGACGUGCAAAUCGAUCGUCAAAUAUGGGCAUGGGGGGCGAAAGACUAAUCGAACCAUCUAGUAGCUGGUUACCGCCG